CAGGCCUAACACAUGCAAGUCGAACGAGCUGAGACCUUCGGGUCUCGAUGCUAGUGGCUCACGGGUGAGUAACGCGUGGGAACGUACCCUUUAGUACGGAAUAACCAAGGGAAACUUUGGCUAAUACCGUAUACGCCCUUCGGGGGAAAGAUUUAUCGCUAAAGGAUCGGCCCUCGUCUGAUUAGGUAGUUGGUGAGGUAACGGCUCACCAAGCCGACGAUCAGUAGCUGGUCUGAGAGGAUGAUCAGCCACACUGGGAGUGAGAGACGGCCCGGACUCCUACGGGAGGCAGCAGUGGGGAAUAUUGGACAAUGGGCGAAAGCCUGAUCCAGCCAUGCCGCGUGGGUGAAGAAGGCCUUCGGGUUGUAAAGCUCUUUCGACGGGGACGAUGAUGACGGUACCCGUAUAAGAAGCCCCGGCAAACUUCGUGCCAGCAGCCGCGGUAA
rnacentral:rRNA from 1 species